CGACGUCGACGGUGUGGAUGACGUCGGUCCCAUCCCUAUCUGCUACUGCUACCCCCGGUCGCGUAACAUUACAACCGUCGAGGGUGCAGAUACCUGAUACACCCAUAGAUUUAUAAUAUUAUGUUGAGCAGGAAAACGCGUAGGGAUCGAACGUACGAUCGAGGUGUACGUUAUUGUGGACGACUUUUCUUCUGUUGUUUUUAGUUUAUGCACGAUUAAACAAUUAUUGUAUACAUACCUCCUGUAUAGGUAGAUUAAAUCGGUUUUGCUUGUUCGAUGUUCAUAAUUAGAUAAUUAGGCAUUACUUAUUAUAAUAUUAUGAUGUAUUUUCAGUGUUGUAUAUACAGCUGCACGUUGUCAAUCGUUUAUUUUUUAUAUUAUGAGCAUUGUAAUUGUUUAGUGCUAUAUAAUAGUACCGAACUACAAAUUAAGUUUGUGUCAAUGGUUGAAAUAGAAAAGCCGAAUACACGCAUUCUGCAUUUAUUUUAAUAUAGUAUAUCGUUUCACAAAAAAAAAAACAGUGAUACCAAAUGUUAUUGAAAUAGGUAUUUAAGUAGGUAUACCUGUUUUUGCGGAAACUAAUGCGCUUUACUUGCGGUUAUGCAGAUUGGGUAACCACUGCUAUUUUUCAUUGUAUCAUUUUUUUUCUAUUUUUCAUUCGUUGUUUUUGGUCUAAUGAAAGCUCACUGCUUCCGAGUCACCAUUUAAUAUUAUUAUUAAUAACUUAAUUAUAGUGGUGUGCUUUUCGAUGACAUUCCGGCGAUAUGAUUCUUGUACGUGUACUUUAUAGAAGUAUAGUGUAUAGAACACUCUGAUCCGGCGAAUCGAGUUACCCGUCUUCCGAGGAUUAUACGCUCCACACUGCUCGUUAAGAGAAACGGUGGUGCGGAAAACGGUGAACAGUAUUUUUGUUCAUUUAUAGUUUCAUUCAAAACAAUACGGAUUUGUACGUUAGGUAAUAAGUAAAUUUAGAUUUUAGACAUUUAGUUUAUAUAAAUAUAUUAGUAUAAUAUUAUGUUAUUAUGUUGAUUGAAAAUCUCAAAUAUUUCCAUUUAUAAAAUGUUGUUAUAUCCUACAAUAUAGCGACUUAACUAUAGGUAAUACAAAAAUACUAUAGUAGUCUGUUCUAGACACAAUUACAUCAAGCCAUUUUAUUUAUUUUCAAUUUUUAAUUUGUACUUCCUAACACAUAAAAUAAAUCCAACUAAACUUCA